GUCUUUGCGCAGAGGCAGUAACAUAGCUGAUGAGGUUUUAACCGAGGCGUGUUUAUUGCUAAUUGAAAACUAUUCCCAAUACCCCGCCUGGACGACACCAGUCGGCCAAGGCAAUAUUUGACGGCUCAUGAUGAG
rnacentral:snRNA from 1 species